rnacentral:rRNA from 1 species
GCUCAACAAGUACUCUAUUUCACUAACCUUACAGACUCUAGAAUCUACUCGUUAGCUUUGGGUUGGGGUGACCGCGGAGAAAAACUUAACCUCCAUAAUGAAAAGAAUAAAAUCCUAAUCUAUGAGCCCACACCUCUAAGAAUCAACAAAUUGGCAUAAAAUGACCCGAUACUUCGAUCAAUGAACCAAGUUACCCUGGGGAUAACAGCGCCAUCCACUUCAAGAGCCCAUAUCGACAAGUGGGUUUACGACCUCGAUGUUGGAUCAGGGUGUCCCAGUGGUGCAGCCGCUACUAAAGGUUCGUUUGUUCAACGAUUAAAACCCUACGU